rnacentral:rRNA from 1 species
GAUGAACGCUGGCGGCGUGCCUAAUACAUGCAAGUCGAGCGAACGGACGAGAAGCUUGCUUCUCUGAUGUUAGCGGCGGACGGGUGAGUAACACGUGGAUAACCUACCUAUAAGACUGGGAUAACUUCGGGAAACCGGAGCUAAUACCGGAUAAUAUUUUGAACCGCAUGGUUCAAAAGUGAAAGACGGUCUUGCUGUCACUUAUAGAUGGAUCCGCGCUGCAUUAGCUAGUUGGUAAGGUAACGGCUUACCAAGGCAACGAUGCAUAGCCGACCUGAGAGGGUGAUCGGCCGCACUGGAACUGAGACACGGUCCAGACUACUACGGGAGGCAGCAGUAGGGAAUCUUCCGCAAUGGGCGAAAGCCUGACGGAGCAACGCCGCGUGAGUGAUGAAGGUCUUCGGAUCGUAAAACUCUGUUAUUAGGGAAGAACAUAUGUGUAAGUAACUGUGCACAUCUUGACGGUACCUAAUCAGAAAGCCACGGCUAACUACGUG